GGACGCUUAGCUCAGUUGGUAGAGCACCUCGUUUACACCGAGGGGGUCAAAGGUUCGAGCCCUUUAGCGUCCACCA
rnacentral:tRNA from 1 species